AUUGAACGCUGGCGGCAGGCUUAACACAUGCAAGUCGAGCGAGCGGCGGACGGGUGAGUAAUGUCUGGGAAACUGCCUGAUGGAGGGGGAUAACUACUGGAAACGGUAGCUAAUACCGCAUACCAUCGGAUGUGCCCAUAUGGGAUUAGCUAGUAGGUGGGGUAAUGGCUCACCUAGGCGACGAUCCCUAGCUGGUCUGAGAGGACGACAAGCCACACUGGGACUGAGACACGGCCCAGACUCUUACGGGAGGCAGCAGUGGGGAACAUUGCACAAUGGGCUCAAGCCUGAUGCAGCCAUCCCGCGGUUGUGAAGAAGGCCUGCGGGUUGUAAAGCACUUUCAGCGAGGAGGCGUUACCCGCAGAAGAAGCACCGGCUAACUCCGUGCCAGCAGCCGCGGUAAUUC
rnacentral:rRNA from 1 species